GGGUGCAGUCAUACCAGCACUAAUGCACCGGA
rnacentral:rRNA from 1 species